UAAUACCAUCAAUUCGAGGGAAACAGAGGAGGAGCUUGUUCCUUUGACCGUUAGCGGGCGGACGGGGGAGUAACACGUGGGUUACCUACUUAUAAGGCUGGGAUAAUUUCGGGAAACCGGAGUUAAUACCGGAUAAUAUAUUAACCGCAUGGUUCAAUAGGGAAAAGCCGGUUUUGCUGUCACUUAUAGAUGGAUCCGCGCCGCAUUAGCUAGUUGGUAAGGUAACGGCUUACCAAGGCAACGAUGCGUAGCCGCCCUGAGAGGGUGAUCGCCCACACUGGAAAUGAGACACGGUCCAGACUCUUACGGGAGGCAGCAGUAGGGAAUCUUCCGCAAUGGGCGAAAGCCUGACGGAGCAACGCCGCGCGAGUGAUGAAGGUCUUCGGAUCGUAAAACUCUGUUAUUAGGGAAGAACAAAUGUGUAAGUAACUAUGCACGUCUUGACGGUACCUAAUCAGAAAGCCACGGCUAACUACGUGCCAGCAGCCGCGGUAAUACGUAGGUGGCAAGCGUUAUCCGGAAUUAUUGGGCGUAAAGCGCGCGUAGGCGGUUUUUUAAGUCUGAUGUGAAAGCCCACGGCUCAACCGUGGAGGGUCAUUGGAAACUGGAAAACUUGAGUGCAGAAGAGGAAAGUGGAAUUCCAUGUGUAGCGGUGAAAUGCGCAGAGAUAUGGAGGAACACCAGUGGCGAAGGCGACUUUCUGGUCUGUAACUGACGCUGAUGUGCGAAAGCGUGGGGAUCAAACAGGAUUAGAUACCCUGGUAGUCCACGCCGUAAACGAUGAGUGCUAAGUGUUAGGGGGUUUCCGCCCCUUAGUGCUGCAGCUAACGCAUUAAGCACUCCGUCUGGGGAGUACGACCGCAAGGUUGAAACUCAAAGGAAUUGACGGGGACCCGCACAAGCGGUGGAGCAUGUGGUUUAAUUCGAAGCAACGCGAAGAACCUUACCAAAUCUUGACAUCCUCUGACCCCUCUAGAGAUAGAGUUUUCCCCUUCGGGGGACAGAGUGACAGGUGGUGCAUGGUUGUCGUCAGCUCGUGUCGUGAGAUGUUGGGUUAAGUCCCGCAACGAGCGCAACCCUUAAGCUUAGUUGCCAUCAUUAAGUGGGGCACUCUAAGUUGACUGCCGGUGACAAGCCGGAGGAACGGUGGGGAUGACGUCAAAUCAUCAUGCCCCUUAUGAUUUGGGCUACACACGUGCUACAAUGGACAAUACAAAGGGUAUCGAAACCGUGAGGCCAAGCAAAUCCCAUAAAGUUGUUCUCAGUUCGAAUUGUAGUCUGCAACUUCACUAUAUGAAGCUGGAAUCGCUUAGAAUCGUAAAACCGCCUGCUACGGGGAAUACUUUCCGGGUCUU
rnacentral:rRNA from 1 species